rnacentral:rRNA from 1 species
GAUGAACGCUGGCGGCGUGCCUAAUACAUGCAAGUCGAGCGAACGGACGAGAAGCUUGCUUCUCUGAUGUUAGCGGCGGACGGGUGAGUAACACGUGGAUAACCUACCUAUAAGACUGGGAUAACUUCGGGAAACCGGAGCUAAUACCGGAUGAUAUUUUUAACCGCAUGGUUCAAUAGUGAAAGACGGUCUUGCUGUCACUUAUAGAUGGAUCCGCGCUGCAUUAGCUAGUUGGUAAGGUAACGGCUUACCAAGGCAACGAUGCAUAGCCGACCUGAGAGGGUGAUCGGCCACACUAGAACUGAGACACGGUCCAGACUCCUACGGGAGGCAGCAGUAGGGAAUCUUCCGCAAUGGGCGAAAGCCUGACGGAGCAACGCCGCGUGAGUGAUGAAGGUCUUCGGAUCGUAAAACUCUGUUAUUAGGGAAGAACAUAUGUGUAAGUAACUGUGCACGUCUUGACGGUACCUAAUCAGAAAGCCACGGCUAACUACGUG